ACGGGUGAGUAACAUAUCGGAACGUACCGAGGAAUGGGGGAUAACUAAUCGAAAGAUUAGCUUAUACCGCAUAUUCUCUGAGGAGGAAAGCAGGGGACCUUCGGGCCUUGCGUUAUUCCAGCGGCCGAUAUCUGAUUAACUAGUUGGUGGGGUAAAGGACUACCAAGGCGACUAUCAGUAGCGGGUCUGACAGGAUGAUCCGCCCCCCUGGCACUGACACACGGCCCGCACUCCUGCGGAAGGCUGCACUGGGGAAUUUUGGACAAUGGGCGCAAGCCUGAUCCAGCCAUGCCGCGUGUCUGAAUAAGGCCUUCGGGUUGUAAAGGACUUUUGUCAGGGAAGAAAAGGACAGGGUUAAUACCCCUGUCUGAUGACGGUACCUGAAGAAUAAGCACCGGCUAACUACGUGCCAGCAGCCGCGGUAAUACGUAGGGUGCGAGCGUUAAUCGGAAUUACUGGGCGUAAAGCGAGCGCAGACUGUUACUUGCGCAGGAUGUGAAAUCCCCGGGCUCAACCUGGGAACUGCGUUCUGAACUGGGUGACUAGAGUGUGUCAGAGGGAGGUAGAAUUCCACGUGUAGCAAUGAAAUGCGUAGAGAUGUGGAGGAAUACCGAUGGCGAAAGCAGCCUCCUGGGAUAACACUGACGUUCAUGCUCGACCGCGUGGGUAGCAAACAGGAUUAGAUACCCUGGGUAGUCCACGUCCUAAAC
rnacentral:rRNA from 1 species